rnacentral:rRNA from 1 species
UACGUAGGGUGCAAGCGUUGUCCGGAAUUAUUGGGCGUAAAGAGCUUGUAGGCGGUUUGUCGCGUCUGCUGUGAAAUUUCGGGGCUCAACCCCGAACUUGCAGUGGGUACGGGCAGACUAGAGUGUGGUAGGGGAGACUGGAAUUCCUGGUGUAGCGGUGAAAUGCGUAGAUAUCAGGAGGAACACCCGUGGCGAAGGCGGCUUCCUGGGGCCAUCCUGACACUGAGAAGCGAAAGCUAGGGGAGCGAACGGG